AGUUUUGAAUCAUGGCUCAGAUUGAACGCUGGCGGCAGGCCUAACACAUGCAAGUCGAGCGGAAACGAGUUAUCUGAACCUUCGGGGGACGAUAACGGCGUCGAGCGGCGGACGGGUGAGUAAUGCCUAGGAAAUUGCCCUGAUGUGGGGGAUAACCAUUGGAAACGAUGGCUAAUACCGCAUGAUGCCUACGGGCCAAAGAGGGGGACCUUCGGGCCUCUCGCGUCAGGAUAUGCCUAGGUGGGAUUAGCUAGUUGGUGAGGUAAGGGCUCACCAAGGCGACGAUCCCUAGCUGGUCUGAGAGGAUGAUCAGCCACACUGGAACUGAGACACGGUCCAGACUCCUACGGGAGGCAGCAGUGGGGAAUAUUGCACAAUGGGCGCAAGCCUGAUGCAGCCAUGCCGCGUGUGUGAAGAAGGCCUUCGGGUUGUAAAGCACUUUCAGUCGUGAGGAAGGUAGUGUAGUUAAUAGCUGCAUUAUUUGACGUUAGCGACAGAAGAAGCACCGGCUAACUCCGUGCCAGCAGCCGCGGUAAUACGGAGGGUGCGAGCGUUAAUCGGAAUUACUGGGCGUAAAGCGCAUGCAGGUGGUUUGUUAAGUCAGAUGUGAAAGCCCGGGGCUCAACCUCGGAAUUGCAUUUGAAACUGGCAGACUAGAGUACUGUAGAGGGGGGUAGAAUUUCAGGUGUAGCGGUGAAAUGCGUAGAGAUCUGAAGGAAUACCGGUGGCGAAGGCGGCCCCCUGGACAGAUACUGACACUCAGAUGCGAAAGCGUGGGGAGCAAACAGGAUUAGAUACCCUGGUAGUCCACGCCGUAAACGAUGUCUACUUGGAGGUUGUGGCCUUGAGCCGUGGCUUUCGGAGCUAACGCGUUAAGUAGACCGCCUGGGGAGUACGGUCGCAAGAUUAAAACUCAAAUGAAUUGACGGGGGCCCGCACAAGCGGUGGAGCAUGUGGUUUAAUUCGAUGCAACGCGAAGAACCUUACCUACUCUUGACAUCCAGAGAACUUUCCAGAGAUGGAUUGGUGCCUUCGGGAACUCUGAGACAGGUGCUGCAUGGCUGUCGUCAGCUCGUGUUGUGAAAUGUUGGGUUAAGUCCCGCAACGAGCGCAACCCUUAUCCUUGUUUGCCAGCGAGUAAUGUCGGGAACUCCAGGGAGACUGCCGGUGAUAAACCGGAGGAAGGUGGGGACGACGUCAAGUCAUCAUGGCCCUUACGAGUAGGGCUACACACGUGCUACAAUGGCGCAUACAGAGGGCGGCCAACUUGCGAAAGUGAGCGAAUCCCA
rnacentral:rRNA from 1 species